rnacentral:rRNA from 1 species
AAUUAAUCCUACUAAUAGUCAUAUACUUGUCUCAAAGAUUAAGUUAUGCAUGUGUAAGUAUGAACUAAGUAUGAACUAAUUCAAACCGUGAAACUGCAUAUAGCUCAUUAAAUCAGUUAUAAUUUAUUUGAUGGUACAUGCUAUUCGGAUAACCAUAAUAAUUCUAGAGCUAAUAAGUAUAAUAAACCCUGACUUGCAGAAGGGAUGCAUUUAUUAGAUAAAAUGACAGCACGAGCUCCGCAGGUGCUCCGAUAAUUCAUGAUAACUCGAGGGAUCGCACAACCCAUGUGCGGCGAUGCAUGAUUCAAAUUUCUGUCCUAUUAACUUUCGAUGGUAGUAUAGGAGCCUACCAUGGUGUUGAUAGAUGACAGAGAAUUAGGAUUUGAUUCUAGAGAGGGAGCCUGAAAAAUGUCUACCACAUCUAAGAAAGGCAGCAGGCGUGCAAAUUACCCAAUCCUGACAUAGGGAGGUAGUGGCAAUAAAUAAUAAUUUUAGGCUUCUCGACUCUGGUAAUUGGAAUGAGCACAAUAUAAAUUCCUUAAUGAGGAUCCAUUGGAAGGCAAGGCUGGUGCUAGCAGCUGUGGUAAUUCCAUCUCCAAUACUGUAUAUUUAAGUUGUUGUAGUUGAAAAGCUCGUAGUUGGACCUUGAGUUGGACUGACCAAUCCGCCCCAUGGUGUGCACUGGUCUUCCCACCCUUUUGCCAACAAUGCACUCCUAUCCUUAACUGGAUGGGUCAUGCCGCCGGUGCCGUUACUUUGAAGAAAUUAGAAUGCUCAAAGCAAGCCCACGCUUUGGAUACAUUAGCAUGGGAUAACAGCACAGGAUUUUGGUCCUUGUUGUGUUGGCAUUCGAGAUCGGAGUAAUGAUUAAGAGGGAUAGCCGGGGGCAUUCAUAUUUCAUAGUCAGAGGUGAAAUUCUUGGAUUUAUAAAAAACGAACCACUAUGAAAGCAUUUGCUAAGAAUGUUUUAUUAAUCAAGAAUAAAAGUUGGAAGCUUGAAGAUGAUUAGAUACCAUCCUCAUCUCAACCAUAAAUAUUGCCGACCAAGGAUCGGCAGAUGUUACUUUCAAGACUCUACUGACACCUUACGAGAAAUCAAAGUUUUUGGGUUCCAGGAGGAGUAUAGUCCAAGGCUGAAACUUAAAGGAAUUGAUAGAAGGGUACCCUAGGAGUAGAGUCUAUGGCUUAAUUUGACUCAACAUGAGGAAACUAACCAGGUCUAGACAUAGCAAGGAUUAAGAGAUUGAGAGCUCUUUUAUGAUUCUAUGGGUGGUGGUGCAUGCUUAUUCCUAGUUGGUGAAGCGAUUUGUUUGAUUAAUUCCAUUAAUGAAUGAGACCUUGGCCUGUUAACUAGCUAUGCAGAGGCAUCCCUCCACAGCCAACUUCUUAGAGGAACUAUGGCCACUUAGACCAUGGAAGUUUGAGGCAAUAAUAGGUCUGUGAUGCCCUUAAAUGUUUUGGGCCACACACGUGUUACACUGAUGUAUUCAACGAGUCUAUAGCCUUGGCCGACAGACCAGAUAAUCUUCAAAAAUUUCAUCGUGAUGGGGAUAGAUCAUUGCAAUUAUUGGACUUCAACGAGGAGUUCCUAUUGAGCAUGAGUCAUCAGCUCGCAUUGACUACAUCUCUGCCCUUUAUACACAUCAUCUGUUGCUCCUACCCAUUGAAUGGUUCGGUGAAGUGUUUGGAUCAUAGUGAUGCAAGCAGUCCGCCACCCAUGAGUCACGAGAAGUCCACUGAAUCUUAUCAUUUAGAGGAAGGAGAAGUUCUAACAAGAUUUUCAUAGGUGAACCUAUGGAAA